AAAAUAURUGAUAUAUUCCUGCCCAGUGACAUAGUUCAACGGCCGCGGUAUCCUAACCGUGCAAAGGUAGCAUAAUCACUUGCCUAUUAAUUGUAGGCUAGAAUGAAAGGAUAAACGAAAUAAAAGCUAUCUAAAUUAAAUAACUAAAAAUUAUUUUCUAUAUAAAGAAAUAUAGAUAUAUUUGAAAGACAAGAAGACCCUAUAGAGCUUUAUUAUAACAUAGUAAAAUAUUAUAUAAAAUUCGGUUGGGGCGACCAUGGAAUAUAAUUUCAUCCAAACUUAAAUAGAUAUAUACAUCAAAUAUAUGACCCUAAUAAGAGCAUAAAAAUAAGCUACCUUAGGGAUAACAGGCUAAUUUUAUUAAAGAGUUCAUAUCUACAAUAAAGAUUGGCACCUCGAUGUUGGCUUAGGGUAUCUAUACAGCGCAAAAGUUGUUAAAAGAAGUUUGUUCAACCUAUAAUCC
rnacentral:rRNA from 1 species